UACGUAGGGGGCAAGCGUUAUCCGGAUUUACUGGGUGUAAAGGGAGCGUAGACGGCAGGGCAAGUCUGGAGUGAAAGGCGGGGGCUCAACCCCCGGACUGCUCUGGAAACUGCCAGGCUGGAGUGCAGGAGAGGUAAGUGGAAUUCCUAGUGUAGCGGUGAAAUGCGUAGAUAUUAGGAGGAACACCAGUGGCGAAGGCGGCUUACUGGACUGUAACUGACGUUGAAGCUCGAAAGCGUGGGGAGCAAACAGG
rnacentral:rRNA from 1 species